rnacentral:rRNA from 1 species
UACAGAGGUCCCAAGCGUUGUUCGGAUUCACUGGGCGUAAAGGGUGCGUAGGCGGCUGGGUAAGUCUGAUGUGAAAUCUCCGAGCCUAACUCGGAAACUGCAUCGGAUACUAUUCAGCUAGAGGAUUGGAAGGGAGACUGGAAUUCUCGGUGUAGCAGUGAAAUGCGUAGAUAUCGAGAGGAACACCAGUGGCAAAGGCGAGUCUCUGGACAAUUCCUGACGCUGAGGCACGAAAGCCAGGGGAGCAAACGGG